rnacentral:misc_RNA from 1 species
GAGAGCCCUGGUUAAUAUUUUUCUCUCCUCUUAGCCCAUCACAUAGUUCACUAACAUGUUUUUCUCCUAUUUCUAGAGAUACAAAUUUGUCUUCAAAAGACACCAACGGAAGCAAGCUGAUUUUUAAUGGUUCACUGAACUUUGUUCCAAAUGCAUAGCAGGCUGCCCCACCACCAAUCACAACGAGAUCAUCACCCACAAUAUUGGUUGUACUGCGCACAAGCAAUUCUUUGCCAAUAUAAUCAAGACUCACAUGCUUCCAUUUAUGAAUUCGAAGAUCUAGUAAUGCCAACUCUUUGGAAUGUUGUCUGAUAGGACAACCCCCAAUAACUCCAAGAAAAUUAUUGUAAGCAAACAAUGAAUGGGAGAAUCUUGGAUGAGGGC